rnacentral:rRNA from 1 species
CACGUAGGUGGCAAGCGUUGUCCGGAUUUACUGGGCGUAAAGAGCGCGCAGGUGGUCGUGCAAGUCGCGUGUGAAAGCCCCCGGCUCAACUGGGGAGGGUCACGCGAUACUGAUCGACUCGAAGGCAGGAGAGGGUAGUGGAAUUCCCGGUGUAGUGGUGAAAUGCGUAGAUAUCGGGAGGAACACCAGUGGCGAAGGCGACUACCUGCCUGUUCUUGACGCUGAGGCGCGAAGGCGUGGGGAGCGAACGGG